rnacentral:rRNA from 1 species
UCGAUUAGUUUGAUCAUGGCUCAGGAUUAACGCUAGCGGCGGGCCUAAUACAUGCAAGUCGUACGGGAUUUCGGGUAGCAAUAUCUGAAUGAGAGUGGCGCACGGGUGCGUUACACGUAUGCAAUCUACCUUUAACUGGGGAAUAGCUCACCGAAAGGUGAAUUAAUACCGCAUAAAAUCACAGAAGGACAUCCUUCAAUGAUUAAACCUACGGGGGUUAAAGAUGAGCAUGCGUCCGAUUAGCUAGUUGGCGGGGUAAUAGCCCACCAAGGCAACGAUCGGUAGGGGGUCUGAGAGGAUGAUCCCCCACACUGGUACUGAGAUACGGACCAGACUCCUACGGGAGGCAGCAGUAAGGAAUAUUGGACAAUGGGGGCAACCCUGAUCCAGCCAUGCCGCGUGAAGGAUUAAGGCCCUAUGGGUCGUAAACUUCUUUUACAGGAGACAAAACCCCUCUACGUGUAGAGGGCUGAUGGUACUCUGAGAAUAAGGGUCGGCUAACUUCGUGCCAGCAGCCGCGGUAAUACGAAGGACCCGAGCGUUAUCCGGAUCUAUUGGGUUUAAAGGGUGCGUAGGCGGAUUUACAAGUCAGUGGUGAAAUCUCCCAGCUUAACUGGGAAACUGCCAUUGAAACUAUUUAUCUUGAGUACAUUUGAGGCGGGCGGAAUGUGUCAUGUAGAGGUGAAAUUCUUAGAUAUGACACAGAACACCAAUUGCGAAGGCAGCUCGCUAAACUGUAACUGACGCUGAGGCACGAAAGUGUGGGUAGCAAACAGGAUUA